GAAAUGCGAUAAGUAAUGUGAAUUGCAGAAUUCCGUGAAUCAUCGAAUCUUUGAACGCACAUUGCGCCCUCUGGUAUUCCGGGGGGCAUGCCUGUCCGAGCGUCAUUGCGAACCCCUCAAGCACGGCUUGUGUGAUGGGCCCUCCCACGUCUUGGUCGUCAAGACGGGCCCGAAAUGCAGUGGCGGCUUCGCGGUUAUCCGAUCAGCCAGAGCGUAUGGGGACUUUCUCUCUGUCACACGCCCGCGGCGCGGACCGACGCCUGUCGACCUUCAUUCAUCGUUUUCUCGGUUGACCUCGGAUCAGGUAGGGAUACCCGCUGAACUUAAGC
rnacentral:misc_RNA from 1 species